GAUGAAGAACGUAGCGAAAUGCGAUAAGUAGUGUGAAUUGCAGAAUUCCGUGAAUCAUCGAAUCUUUGAACGCACAUUGCGCCUUCUGGUAUUCCGGUAGGCAUGCCUGUUCGAGAGUCUUUAACAACCGUUUCGAUCCCUUUCUUUCAGAAAUUACAAAGAGGAAAAGGGUUUGGUUAUGGUGGAGGAGGGAAAGGGAGCGUUUAGCCUGUAAAAAAAGAGGCUGUGUUCCGCCUCCCCCCCAAAAUUGUACAGGCGGUCGUGUGCGCCCACGCAUCGAGGUGUUGUAAAAGCUGCCACGGCACUUUUCACCUGUGCAGUGCGAGAUUGGCCAGCCGGUUUAAAAACCCCUCCAAACAAUCAAAGGUUGACCUCGGAUCAGGUAGGGAUACCCGCUGAACUUAAGCAUAUCAAUAAGCGGAGGA
rnacentral:misc_RNA from 1 species